CUACAUUUUACUAUGAUCUGUACGCUUGAGGUUUUAUAUAUACUGUGUCUCUAUGGGGGAAAUAGUAUGGAAUGGUCUAAUGCUUUGUGCUUGUUUCCCAUGACACAAUGGUAGCUUGGAAUUGACUUACACUACAAAUCAGAGUUAUUGCUUUUUUGUUUUUGUUUUCCAGAGAGCUGAUUGUUAUCCAUUUAUCAGAACACCAUUGGGUAGAAGUUCUUUGAGAACAGACCUAACUUCCCAUGCAAUUUUAGGCUGCUGAGCUGAAGAAGAAUUUGAGCUGGGAUGGCAUUCAGCCCUUUAAGCUACCAGAAUUCAUGCCCAGACCAAAGAACCAAAGUCAGUGGCAGCCCUGAGGAAGUAGUAGGAGAGGCAAAUCCUAGAGACAAAGGUGAGAAACUCAGCAGUGCAGAAGGAAGAGGUAUUGAAUGGAUUUUCUCCACCCAGCAUCCUAACUGGCUACGCUAUGGAUCUGAAGCCCAACUAAAACAAUCUGCCUCAGCUGGGGUGUGUGAGGUAUCAAUAACCCUUGGCAGAGGUGUCAAGAGCCUCACUGGAGCUGAACUACCCUGCUGACCAGAUGCUUAGCAAGUUAACAAGAUAGCACUGAGCAUUCACCACUUUUCCGACACAACAAUUAACACAACUGGAAGAUCAUCGCACUGAUAUUCUGAAAAAGAAUCUUACCAAAGUUUCCUUUUAUGGAGCAGAGGCAAAUAUGUAUCGUACCAGUUUGGGAGGAGAAAUAUUUUGAAGUUUUAAGUUGGACAGAUGCUUUGGCUAAAUAAAUGAGGGAAACUGAAAAACA
ensembl:lncRNA